GGCUUCGUGGUCAAAUGGUAAGAUCAUUUACCUUUCACCCUGGAGUCCCGGGUUCGAUCCCCGGUCGAGGAUA